ACAGGUGCUGCAUUGGCUGUCGUCAGCUCGUGUCGUGAGAUGUUCGGUUAAGUCCGCUAACGAGCGCAACCCUCGCUGUGUGUUAUAUGUGUCACACGGGACUGCCGGUCUUAAGCCGGAGGAAGGUGGGGAUGAUGUCAAGUCAGCAUGGCCUUUAUAUCCUGGGCUACACACACGCUACAAUGGCCAACACAAUAGGUUGCUAAGCCGCGAGGUGGCGCCAAUCCAUAAAGUUGGUCUCAGUUCAGAUUGUAGGCUGCAACCCGCCUGCAUGAAGAUGGAGUUGCUAGUAACCGCAGGUCAGCUAUACUGCGGUGAAUACGUUCCCGGGGCUU
rnacentral:rRNA from 1 species